AUUGAACGCUGGCGGCAGGCCUAACACAUGCAAGUCGAACGAGUGGCGGACGGGUGAGUAAUGUCUGGGAAACUGCCUGAUGGAGGGGGAUAACUACUGGCAACGGUAGCUAAUACCGCAUACCAUCGGAUGUGCCCAGAUGGGAUUAGAUGGUAGGGGGGGUAAAGGCUCACAUAGGCGACGAUCCCUAGCUGGUCUGAGAGGAGGACCAGCAAAAAUGGUACUGAGACACGGUCAAGAUUCCUACGGGAGGCAGCAGUGGGGAAUAGUGCACAAUUGGCGAAAGCCUGAUGCAGCCAUGCCGCGUGUAUGAAGAAGGCCUUCGGGGUGUAAAGUACUUUCAGCGGGUAGGCGUUACCCGCAGAAGAAGCACCGGCUAACUCCGUGCCAGCAGCCGCGGUAAUAC
rnacentral:rRNA from 1 species